rnacentral:rRNA from 1 species
CCUACGGGAGGCUGCAGUGAGGAAUAUUGGUCAAUGGACGCACGUCUGAACCAGCCAUGCCGCGUGCAGGAAGACGGCCCUAUGAGUUGUAAACUGCUUUUGUACGAGGGUAAACGCAGAUACGCGUAUCUGUCUGAAAGUAUCGUACGAAUAAGGAUCGGCUAACUCCGUGCCAGCAGCCGCGGUAAUUCGGAGGAUUCAAGCGUUAUCCGGAUUUAUUGGGUUUAAAGGGUGCGUAGGCGGUCGGAUAAGUUAGAGGUGAAAACCCGAGGCUCAACUUCGGAAUUGCCGCUGAUACUGUUCGGCUAGAGAGUAGGUGCGGUAGGCGGAAUGUAUGGUGUAGCGGUGAAAUGCUUAGAGAUCAUACAGAACACCGAUUGCGAAGGCAGCUUACCAAGCUACUUCUGACGUUGAGGCACGAAAGCGUGGGGAGCAAACAGGAUUAGAUACCCGAGUAGUC